GACGAACGCUGGCGGCGUGCCUAAUACAUGCAAGUUGAGCGCUGAAGGUUGGUCCUUGUACCAACUGGAUGAGCAGCGAACGGGUGAGUAACGCGUGGGGAAUCUGCCUUUGAGCGGGGGACAACAUUUGGAAACGAAUGCUAAUACCGCAUAAAAACUUUAAACACAAGUUUUAAGUUUGAAAGAUGCAAUUGCAUCACUCAAAGAUGAUCCCGCGUUGUAUUAGCUAGUUGGUGAGGUAAAGGCUCACCAAGGCGAUGAUACAUAGCCGACCUGAGAGGGUGAUCGGCCACAUUGGGAGUGAGACACGGCCCAAACUCCUACGGGAGGCAGCAGUAGGGAAUCUUCGGCAAUGGACGAAAGUCUGACCGAGCAACGCCGCGUGAGUGAAGAAGGGUUUCGGAUCGUAAAACUCUGUUGGUAGAGAAGAACGUUGGUGAGAGUGGAAAGCUCAUCAAGUGACGGUAACUACCCAGAAAGGGACGGCUAACUACGUG
rnacentral:rRNA from 1 species